UACUAAGGUAUCUAUUCUCUGACCUCCAC
rnacentral:piRNA from 1 species